rnacentral:lncRNA from 1 species
CGAAAGGACACAGUUGGGACUUCUGCGGGACCCCUGCAGAAAGAGUGUGAAUGCUUCCUUCUGAGGCACUGCCUGACCUUGAAUUAUCUUCGGAAUUGGCAAGGAAAGGCCAUGUUCUAUUCACCCUGGUUUUAGUUUUAAGUGUAUCUUACUUAAUAUUUUCAAUAUGAGUCAGCUCCAUGUACUGUGAUGAUUUUUCAAAUAACCAGAAGUUGACUGUAGCUGGCUUUAGACAGGAAGCGUGAGUACAGAAUCCAGCUGCUUCCACCCUGGGAGCAAGUCUGGGCCGGUAGUCCUGGAUUUUCUGGCCUGAGGCCUCAGCCUCCUGGAUUACACAAGCAGAACCCUCCUGGGUCCUGCUCUUCCUGACUCUCCUCUCCUGAUGGGAGCAAGGGGCUCCCCUGUCCUGGAUGCACUCCUUGAAGCAGCUGCUCUGCCUGAUCCGCCUGCCUGGGAGUCCUGGACCACAAGUGAGGUGGCAUUUCUCUGAGCACUUAAGAAGAUGACUCACCCAGAGAGGCGGACUGGGCUGGUCUCCCGCCUUGGAAAACCCUGGUGUCUGCCCUGCUGAGGCUCCGAGUUGACACUUGCGUGGCUGCGACCCUCAGCCGCGGGACAAGCGAUGACGACGUUGGAAUUGCAGGAUCUUGCUUGCAAAAGUCAUGGCGCCAACUCAAGGGCUGCAAGCCCCAACAGCUUCAGAGCCAGGCUUCAAGAAUAAGCCAGACUUGAAUAUCAAAGUCCCAAGGAAUGAAAUGAAGCCUAAGCUACCAAGCACAUCAAAUGACAGCAUUUCAUGUCAUUUUUACAGCUUUACGAAGCUGCGAGGAACAGAGAGCUGUUGACUGCCAGCAACGUGAAGUGCACCAGACGCUGUGGACGAGGAGGAGAUUCAAGGACACUAAGUCCGGGCCAGGUCCCAAGAUGCCUUUCUCUAAUCGCUCAAGAGUUAACUGCCACCUUGAAUUACCUUGGAACGUACGGGGAGGAGCUGUUCUCGUCCUUCUCUGCCCUCCAAUGUUCAUCUAUACUCUGAGUGAAACAAAACAGAACAUGUGGCCAAAGGGGAGCCCUUGCGAGAAAAAGGCAGGGAAGGAGCAGACACAAACUCAUGCCGAGCUUGGGAAUUGCAGCCCUAUGGCCUGUAUCCUGGGAAAUACAGCCUGGCUCCCUGUCGGACCCACAUGGACUCAAAUUUCCCAGUUACCAUUUAAGAGCUGCCUGAUCUUGGGCUAGUCAUUUGACCCUGCUCAGCCUCAGUGUCCUCAGCAGCAUAUCUACUUCCUUGGGUCGCCAUCAAGAUGGAAUGAGAUAUCGUGUACAAAGGGCCAGCGCGUCACAAGCCCCCCACGUGGAAGUAGAUGAUGCUACAGCCCAUGAACCCUUCUGCCCUCACAGAGCUUUCACCUGUUUGCAAGUUGACACUCUCCUCCGAAGCCUGCCUUUUCAAAAUAAGGGAGAUGUCCCACCCCUGGGGUUCUUUGUGAUUCUCAGAGCUUUCUUUUUCACCCAGUUAGGGAAAACUAACUUUUGUACCCAACAUUACAUCAAUGACAUUGCUUUAUCUAUGUAUUUGUUUUAUGGUGCUUUUGGCGUCCUCAUUAAGAAAUCUUUGCCUCUGCCAAGAUCAUGAAGAUAGUCUCCUAUGAUUUCUCCUAGAAGUUGACUUGUUUUACCUUUCACAUUUAAUUCUGCCAUCUACCUGGAACUGAUUUUUAACGACACUAUUUCAAAUACUAAUUUGGUUUUUGAAUAUAAUUUGCAUAUUAAUUUGGUAGUAUUUGUCCUAAAUUUUCUUUUUUGUUUUUAAAUAAAAAACCAGGAAUUUAGACAGUACUAAUUUUCUGGAUGGAAAAAAGAAUUUAUAAACUCUAAAAUUAUACUAUUGCCCGAUUUUAACUUUAGGAUAGUCAAAAUAUCAGAAAACAACUUUUCCAUUUUGUGAGGCCGAAUGAAAGUCAAUUUGCUGUAAGUAUUGAUUACAUACAUAGAGAAUGCUUGUAUGAGGUAAAUGAAUCAUGGUGACUACUUAAGACACUGAGACUGGUUUAAGGAAGGAGUCAUUCAUUCAAGAACAUUUUACUGAUAUUUAUAUUAUAAAUACAAACUUGCAAUAAGUAUAUUUGUAUAAAAUAUUUAUACUUGUC